UUUUUGUUUUUUUGGUUUUUGUUUGUUUCUCCUCUCUCCUUCUUACUCCCUCCCCCCGCCCCACUACUCCUUGCUUUGUGAGAGAAAUAGAGAUUUCCAGUGCAAAGGAAUCUUGGUGAAGACCAAAUGAGAUAGUAUGAAAAGCACCUGGUAAAUGUAUCACUUACAAGUAGGUACUGAAUAAACGUUACUUCUCUUUGCUUCCCUGCUUGCCCUGCUGCUCUAUUUUAGACUCUGGUUACUGACAGUUUUAUGUAACUGCUAUAAAAUCUGAGGGGAACUGAAACUGUCAGUCUAAUUCAUGGGAUGGUAUUUCAGGCCCCAAAUAUAAGGCACAAAUACACAUUUGUAAGCCACAGUAAAAUAAAAGGGAAUCCAAAUAUCUGGACAUUAUUUUACUAAUCAUUCAUUGGAAGCCAUUUCUGGCUGUAGUGGGCUAUCUUGUUUCUAUUACUUAAAACUGUAUUUAAAGCAAACAUUUUCCCAAUUGCUGAUGAUAAAAUAUAGCUUCAGAGCUGGCCUGACCACACCUUUGUAUAUUACUUCAUAUUGUUCAUAUAUGUUCCUAAGCUCAGUGCCAUCUUCAAUAUACUUAACUCUAUGUUCUGUAUAACAUUAAAAUGACUUUAUAACCUUAUUUUAAAAUGUUUAAACAAUGUCAUUAAUUUAUGAACAUGUAAAAAAUCACUACUAAUCUCUACUGAUGUCUAUUCUCAUUUUAAAGCUAUAGAAUCUGAUGAACAGAGUGAUUAAUUUUCUGGAGGUCAUAUAGAAACCAUUAGUGACAUUUGUGAGAUAUUUUGAAUUUCUCAAAUAAACAAUAUCACUAAUAUUCCUUAUCAUUUUAUCUUAUAAAUAAAAAUAAACUUUCUCAACUUUCAAAUGUUUUGCACAAAGUAUUUAAUACUUAUUUAAUACUUGAAUAUAUGGCUGGAUAAAAUAGAAUUUUAUAAUCUGAAUCACUUUGAUUUUCUACUUCCCUACUUCCAUUAGUUAUACUACUAAUAAUAGAAUCUAUAGUAGUAUAUAGAAUUAUAUACUACUAAUAGUAGAAUACAUAUAUCCUAGAUCUGUGCUAGACAGUUGUAGAUGAUUCUUAUUUAUUUUUAUUUUUCCAUAUAACAUACCCUUUGUUGUCUACUUUGGGUAAUUGUAUGUAACCUUUCGUUUUGGGGUCCACCCCAUUUCCCCUCCUACUUCUGGGUGAAACUGACACUCUCAACUCUAAAAGUAGAGUAGAUCACCCAGGCCAAGCCAACCAUGAUCCCCAGGCCUGGCUAAUGGGUUCAGUGGUAGAUACCAUCAGGAUCCAGAAUUUGAUUUUACUCUCCUUACAAGCUAAUAUGUUGGUCUAUUGCUAUUUCAUAAAUGUUGGCAGAAGACACAGAUUUCUGGGUCAGAGACAAAGGAUAUUUUACUCAUGGUGCACCCAAUAGGCAACGUGAUUUGCAUUGGUUCCAUUUGCCCCUGGUUCUCAUGGGGGUGAUGCAGUGUCAGCGCAGAUGGAUAUAUGGAGCUGUGGGUCUGUGUCACAGCUGUGGGGCCCUAAUCUUAGGAAAACCACCACUUCAUAGUAGCUGUAAUUAAGCCUUCUUUUUGUCCUUGGUCAAGAAUGCUUGCUGCAAAGACAACCUUGAGAAAUAAUCUAGGUAGAAAGUGUGACUAUUCUUGGCACACCCAUCAAGGUAUACAGAGGGUGAGAUACACACGGAGAGAUGCCUCCCAACAGGGAAAUGGCCUCAGCUAAUUAGAGANNNNNNNNNNNNNNNNNNNNNNNNNNNNNNNNNNNNNNNUCUUUCCCCUGAAAUUUGAACCUAGAAAAAUGUCAUGUUUCAAUUUCUGCUGCUAUCUCAUAAUUACACAGAAUUAUGUAACUGAGAAUGAAGCCAAGAUUGCAAAAGUCAGAAAUGAGAAAAGGAGACUGAAAAAAAAAAGAUGGUUACUGAGUUACAGAUCAAGUACACCAUGAAGCCAGGCUUCCCUGAGAAUGUUCAGUUAUGUGAGCUAAUUAGGUUCUUCUCAUUCAUUCCCAACUAAAGGAGUUCUGACUGAUUUGGCAUUUGACAUGCAUUGUCUCAUCACAACAGCCCUAUAAAGGAGGUGUUAUUAUUCUCAUCUUACAGAUGAGAAAAAGUGUGUCAUGAAGAUUAACUUGCCCAGUAUCACCUAAAUAAAGCAGAAUCACAACUGCUGAUGGCAAACUUCAUGCUCUGAACAGUUAAACCACUAGUUCUGGAAUUUUAAAGUACUUUAGAAAUACCAAGGCUCACCCCAGACCUAAUAAAUCAAAAUCUCUGUAGUGGAGCAUAGGGAAUAUGCAUUUUUAUAAGAUUUUGGGUGAUUCUGAUGCAAGGCUGUGGACCACUUAAAAAAUGUUUGCCUUAGAAACAGAUAUAAUUUCAAGGAUAUUGCUGCCUGACCUUCUGAUACGGUGUCCUUAUUUAAAAGACUUGCUUCUGGAAAAUAAAAGCUGAAGUUUGAGAGUGAUGUAAACUACAAACCAAAAGAAAUCCUUUCCUGAGAAAAGCUGUAUUGGAAGAAGUGGGGAAAGUCAGAAAACAGAGCCCUGAACUGUGGAAAGAAGAGUUAGCAAAUGGGAACUUAAAAGGGAAAUGGGGGAACAGAGUUUUGAAGUUACAUUUCACCAAUUUUUACCUAAGGAAUUCCUUUUUGCUUAAUUAAUUGUGUGUGUUUAAGUUCAGAUUCCACACCUGGCUUAUGUAUAGGGAGACUUGACAAUCUUUUGAAAAAGACAUGCAGACAUCUGCUUGAUGUGCUAGUUAGAAUGGCUCAUUGGACAUGUAGGAGAAUGUUUAAUUUAAUUAUUGACUUUGAAUAGACAUUUUGCCACUGCUAAUAAUAUUAGGUAGAUUAAUGAAUUGUUCAAGUGUUAUAGAGACAGAAAGAACACUGUUGAGAGUUAUCGUUCAUCAAUAUUUGGACAGCCUUUCCUAGAAGAGUCAUGCAGGUCACAUGUGUUAUUGUAAAAUAUUUUCCUGCUUGCCUAUCAUAUCUUAGAUUUCUGUCUUUAAAUUUGAAUGGAGUAUUAGUUGUAAUACAGGUAUUAUUAUUGCAAAAAUCUGAACUACAUCUGUACAUGAUAUUCUAUAGCAUCUGUAUAAUACCCUCCUCCAAGUGGACUCUGCUACAUAGUAGGUUGUUCUCAAAUGUUAAGGCUGCAAGUACUUGCGCUCUCAUCUGUAAGCAGUCUGGGCUUGUACAUGCUGAGAAGGGGUAUAGAGUUGAAUUCCGCUGAGGAAUAACAUGUUAGCUGAUGGCAUUCUUCCCCACUUUUCAUUUCCUUUUAUACUUCCUGUCCACUCAAAACUGAAGACCUGAAUCAAUCUGGUUUAAAGAGGUAUUUAUUUUUAGAGUUUUAAGCUCAUUAUUAUUCCAAAGAAUAUUAGGAGCAUGACUAUAUUAUCAGCCAUAAAUGACUACAAUAUUUCCAGUUUGGGGUUAAGAAGAUUGAGUUUGAUAUAUAUUUUGACAGUAGUUCAGUUUAUCAUCAAAGGGAACAUUUUACCAAAGGGCUUUUAGUUAAAAUUAUACCUCCUUUUUAAACAAUGCUUAUCUCCACCCAGCAGUUUGACAAACAGGUGUUUUGAUAUUUUAGUUUGAACUGGUAACUUCUAUUCACAGGCCUCCUUGACUUUGUUAUCAUUGCAGAAAUACCUUCCUUUAUGGGUGAAGCCAGACAUUAAGUGUAUCUUAUCAUCCCUCAGGCAGUCCCCUCCAGUGUGUACUCUUGAUUACCCUGUCUCCAGAUCUUCAACAAAGCAGUAAAAGAUCAUUAUCAUUAUCUCUGUUCCCGCCUUGGAAAAACCAUGUAACAAUGUUGAACCUCUCUGCCUUCUUUUAAACCAACAAAUGAAAUGUGUUGAAUGAAAAGCAAGAUAUCCAUCUGAAUAUGUGGAAGAGGUUGUCUUGAGCUCAGAGGUGUAUGGUGCAACAAGAAAGCAGCACAGACUUUGCAAUACCUUUUUUUUAAAGCACAUGACACUGUAGCAAUUAUGUGACUGUCUUUCAAUCAUUGCAGUUAAAGACCUCAGCUCUCUGAUGUGGCACAAUGGAUUAAAGAAGGGAAUGAGCAAAAUUUGCAAGACAUAACUCUACUACCAAAGUGUUUUUCAGAAGACUGAUAUAAAUAUGUCAUCUCUAUUAUUUGUUUAAAAUAAGUUGGGAAUAUAUCACAACUUUUAAAAAUGUAUCUUCCAUAAUAUUCUCCAGAACUCCUUGCCUAUUUUCUCAGGCCCAAACCAUACAUUCAGUAUAGUGGUCAGUAUUAAAUUGGAUGAGGCAUCAAAGCUUUUCAAACAUGAUCCUUUCUUGGGGUAUUGUGAGAGAAGAUGGCUCCAGAAAUUCCACCCUGGGAACACAGAGGUCACUGGCAAGACAGAAUAGAUCAUGGACACUAAACUGAUACAUUUUUACCUUCUUCCAUAAAUCAUGUUUCACUGCAGUCUCUCACCCAGAGGUGAGGCUCAUCACUUUAGGAUAGGAAAGGGCUUGUUUCAAACUUCCAGGCAACGUAAAAAGGCUUGGAAAUCAGGGCACAUGUUGGGGGUGGCGGUUGCACAGAGAAUUGCUAAUUUUUCUCUCUUGCUUUGUUUUUUUGUUUUGUUUUGUUUUUUGUUUUUUGUUUUUGCCUCAGCACAUCACAGGCUAAGACUAAAGUACUCAAGUCCUAUUCUUUUCCUCUUGGGCAAAGGAGAUGCAGGGUGCAUGGAAUGUUUUUCAUAAGUGAGGUUUACAAGGGAGAGAUGCAAAAGACCUGAGACAGAGCCACAGAAAAAGCUCUCGGACGGAGCAGAUCCUUAGGAUCACCAGUCUAGAGCUGCCUCAGAUCCCUCUCUGGUCACAGAGCCAAGAGGCUCACGAUGGGGCUGCCAAGGCAGGGCUAGCUCACUUAUUGACUGAGGCGGGGGUAGACCCCAGGAUGGACAGCUGUAUGAGGACCCUGGAGGACUCUGAGAAGGUUGCAGCCCUCACCAAACUAAGAGGUCGGAUCACAGGUCCUGGUUUCAAUGAACUGCAGCCAGGAAUCAUGCAGGAGGAAGGACCUACUUCCAGAUAGUAAAGGGAAGACAGGGCCCCUUUCCCAAGGAGAAUAAUUUGUCCCCUCCUCCCUUAAGACACAUAAAGCCUCUUUCCAAUAUUCACUCUUAAGCCAUUUUAGAGAUGCCAAGUGAGGAAUGGGGCGGAGUUCCCAUUGUGGCUCAGUACAUUACAAAUCCAACUAGUAUCCAUGAGGAUGCAGGUUUGAUGCCUGGACUUGCUCAGUGGGUUAAGGAUCUGGCCUUGCUGUGAGCCAUGGUGUAGGUUGCAGCCAUGGCUUGGAUCCUCUGUUGCUGUGGCUGUGGUGUAGGCUGUUAGCUACAGUUUGGAUUCGACCCCUAGCCUGGGAACUUCCAUAUGCCAUGGGUGUGGCCCUAAAAGGCCGGGGAGGGGGGGAGGAAUAGGGGGCCAGCCAGGAGGUUAUCUAAACUUAUCGAAAUAAAAUUUUGAAAUUUUCUGAAAAAAAUUGGAUGCUGGAGAAUUUAUUUAAUGUUUCUUCCCAGCUAACCAGCUAGAAGCCACUUGGAAUAAUUUUCAGAGUUAAUACUAAAAGAACAAAAUGUUUUUUACACAUUGGAGCUAUGAGUUCAAUUUGCCACCUUGCUAGAACUUUUAAAAAUAUUAAAAAGACAAAAGUCUAGCUAUUCUUAGUCGUAGUGAGAUAGGGUAGAGAACUAUAAAGGUUAGAGUUACUUUUUCCUAAGUUUGCCACUCUAAAAUAAAUACCACUCUAAAAAUAAGCCACUCUAAAAAAACCACUCUGAAAAAUAAAAUAUGUUAAGAAAACAAACAAAUGAAAAACCUCUCCUAGUAAUGCUUAAAUUCUUCAAGGGAUGGACAUGGCCGUCAUUGAACAAAACAUAAAUGUCUUUCUAUUUUAUGUUGAAAUCUGAUUUUUGUAUUUUCUUAACCCAUUGUCCUCUGAAACAUCUUUAAGAGAUCCCUUUUUUUCUCUUCCAUGAACUUUCCCUGGGAUGUCAAUUAGCAGUUUCUUGGUUCCCACAACAAAGUCUGAGGUCAUAAAUGAGAGCAGACAGUAAUUUAAUCUGUGAGCGAUUAUUUUAAUCUAUGAGUGAUUGUGAUAUCAUCUGGUUAGUUUGGUGACAACUGCACAUGGAGUACACUGCUUCCUACUCAUACUGACUCGUUUUUUGGUUGUUGUUGUCAUUUUCUUUCUCUCUUUCUGAACUAAAAACUUUCUUUAAAAAAAAAUU
rnacentral:lncRNA from 1 species